GUGAGGGAGGGAUGACUGGUGACAGAGUGAGGGGGUGACUAGCGACAAAGUGAGGGAGGGGGUGACUAGCGACAGAGUGAGGGAGGGGGUCACUAGUGACAGAGUGAGGGAGGGGGUGACUGUCACUAGUCACCCCCUUCCUCACUCUGUCACUAGUCACCCCUUCUUUCCCUUACUCUGUCACUAGUCACCCCUUCCCUCCCUCUGUCACUAGUCGCCACCUCCCUCACUCUGUCACUAGUCGCCACUUCCCUCAC